GUUUUCUCGACAAGGUCCAUGCGUUGGUGACCUUUAUAGUCUUGAUGACGGCCUGAUUAGGCUUGUUAGCAGCACGGACAAGGUCAGCAACCUGCCAUCAUGCAGCAAGCAGACUCCAAUCAACCGCUAUGUCAUAUCAUCUGGAUGAAAUUGACCUCAUGGCUUUCAGUGCACAUCGAAGCCAGGCAAGGAUGCCCGGAGGCAUGGUACAUUGGGGAAACCAAG